UGUCUGGUUUUGUGGUGGGGAAGCGCGUGGUCGUCCGGACUGGCGGACGGAGACAACAGCGAUUUCCGUCCCUUCCUCUUCUGUUUUCUCUCUCUCCCACCACCCCCUCCGCCCCCCCCCCUCCCCGCAGCGGAGGGAUACGCAGCCGGCUUGCGCUGGAUGUUGGUUGCGGCGAGCGCGGGGCCUUGAGCGGGAGCAGAGGCGGGACGGACGCGACGGUUUCUGAUUGCCCCGACCCCCUUCACACACACACACACACACUCCCCCGCCGUGCCUCUUCGUCUCGCCUCUUUCCUGACGAGAUCUCAGCGAGAGCAGUUCUGUGGAGAAAGAUGUCAGUUGGGUGAAGUGUGAUUUUUUUGCUCUCUCUCUCUCUCUCUCGGCGUUCCGCGGGGGGAAAGGAGGCGAUGGCGGCGGGUCCGCGGAUGGAGCUGGUCGGCAAGCGGUUUGUGUGCGUGGGUGACAGCGGCAGUGAGUUGGACGUGUCGAGAAUCCAUGAAUGGGAAUGGCGAGCCGGGGUGAUCAGGGCCGUAUCUUACAGAGAGCCCUCCAACAGUGAACUGUCGGCAUAUGUGGAAUUUGAUGACCUAGAAUGGGAAAAACGUGAAUGGGUUAAAGUCUACGAAGACUUCCAAAUUUUCUUGGUAGAGCACCAGCUGGUCUGGGCUAAGAGAAAGAACCCUAGCCAGUCUCAGGGAUCAAAGAAUAAGCAGAUUCAGUGGCCUGCUUUGACAUUCAAGUCUGUAGUUGGAAAGACUGUGCUUCAUUUAUUAAUUGCAAUAGAAUUCUUCGUGGAUAAACAGCUGAAUUUUAUACCUGGGGACAGUGCUUUCCAGGUCUACCAGGAUGACAUAGACAGUCUGAGCCCAGUUCUCAGGGACAACCCCCCGCUUCAUGAAGAAGUGAAAGCCUGGGUUAAAGAACAAAAAGUUCAGGAAAUUUUUAUGCAAGGUCCCUAUUCAUUGAACGGCUAUAGAGUACGAGUAUACAGGCAAGAUUCUGCCACCCAGUGGUUCACUGGUAUCAUUACUUACCACGAUCUUUUAAGUCGCACUAUGAUCGUGAUGAAUGACCAGGUGCUAGAACCACAGAAUGUCGAUCCUUCUAUGGUACAAAUGACUUUUUUGGAUGAUGUUGUUCAUUCUCUGCUGAAAGGUGAAAACAUAGGCAUCACAUCAAGACGAAGGUCUCGCUCUAAUCAAAACAGUUCAGCAGUUCAUGGUCAUUAUACACGUGCUCAAGCCAAUAGUCCGCGAUUAGUGAUGAGUUCCCAGACUUCAUCAGGAAAGCAGAAUCAGCAGCAACAACGAAUCAUCCGCUCAAAUAAAAGGAAAGAAUCUGAUUGCAGUUUACUGGAAGAAGAUAAGACAGAGGAUAAAUGUGAAAAUUCUGUAAAAGAAGAAUCUUCAAGGAGCAAAACAAAGCAGUUGGUUAAUAAAAGGAGAAAGCCAUUAGAAGAUGAAAAGCAAGCGACUUCAGAAAGACUGAAAACAAAUAAUAACUCGGACACUGAAAGCAGUGAGUCUGAAAGUUCUGUUAACAAAGUCAUCUUAGAUUCUUCCACUGAGCAGAGUUCAGAAAAUGAACUGACAAACAAGAUAAUUUUGGAUGACAAUAAAGAUGAAAAAAUCUUUCAGAACAAUACAGAAUUAGGGGAAAAGAUGGUAAUUGCUAACUCUUCUCACUGUAAUAAGAUGCAAGAGGUUAAAAAGGACAAUGAAACUCAGAGGCCUGAAUUAGUUGAUAUUGAUCUCCAUAAGCCAGAAGUUGAUUGUCAACAAAGUAUAACAUCGCAAAAAGUAACUGGUGGGUGCACUGGUGUAGGACUGAAAACCAUCAGUGAAUCUGUGGAACCGUCUCCAGAUAAGCUGUUAAAUUUUUCUGUACAGAAACCUAUACUUGGUUUCAGUAAUGGAACCUUAUCCAAAAAUGUGCUUCAUGAAGCUGGCGAUACCUGUUCCCUCAGUGUUGCAUCUCAGAAACUGGAAAUUAAUUCUAUCAGCUCAACACAUUCAAUUUCAAAAAAACAUGCAUCAGGUAUUCAAAAAUCAGAGGUAGAUGCAGAGUUGAGCAACCGAAUUAACAAAGUCAAAUCUCAAGUUAAUAAAUUCUCAGUUGUUACUGAAUACAAUAAUAGUUUGGAGAAUGAAAAAGCAUCGAAUCCUUCAGGACCACAAUCCAAUGUUUCUGUUCAUGCUAUCAACAAAAUCAGUAAACCAAAUAAAGUGAUUACUUCACUUGAAACGCUGAAGCCUGAAGUUUCUUAUCCUCGCAGCCCAGCUGAUUCAGUUUCCAGGUCAACUUCAAGAUAUAAAAAUGAGUCAUCAAGUUUCCAGCCUUUGCCUGCAAGAACAAUUGUGGAAACUACAAGAAGCCCUUUAAUUGUCGAUAAAAAUGAGCAUUUUACUGUAUACAGGGAUCCUGCUUUGGUUGGGCCUGAGCCAGGAACAAAAUCUUUGUCACCAUAUUUGCAACCACAUCUUCACCCCCUUCACACUUCAUCGCGUUCAACUUGUUUGAUGACAAAUAGUUCUAAUUUAUCUGCAAGAGUAUCAUCACAUGAUUCUGCCAAUUCUCCACAGACUUCUGGUUCUAAUGAUGCUCGAGCUGUCAGCAGUGUGCUUUCCCACUCGGUUCACUCUUCCCAUCUCCUUCCUAGAGUGUUACCAGGAGUUCCAUCAGCAUCUUUGGUGUGUGGGCAUUUAGAUUCUGUGCAUGCAAGAAAUUUAAACCCUUUAACAUUGACACAGUGUCAGCAACAGUGUUUACAGCUGCAAUCAUCUCCGCUCCUUGGCCGGACUCACCCACCUGCUCCUUAUAAUCAGCUUGGACUCUAUCCCGUUCUAUGGCAAUAUUCAAAUAGCAUGAAUCUGUCUUCGGCUCUAAGCAUGGCCUCACCUAAGUGGAUUCACCCUGAAAACUCAGUGAGUGCUGAAGCUUUUAAGAGGAAUGCAUCCAGUCCUUGGCUACCUCAGCACACCACCGUGACCUCAGCUGAUGAUCUGGGGUUAUUAAACCACAUUCCUGUUCGUCCUGCCAGUGCUGAACCUCAUCGACCCUUGAAACUGGUCCUGCGUUCUAGUCCACCUUUGUCUAAGCCAGGUGUCAAUCAUCAAAAAGAAAAAAUUGACAAGAAAACUUUAAUUGAUUCAUUCCAUUCUGUUACUUCGACUCGAAUGAAGCUUGAAUUUAAUCACGAUAGACAUUCACAAGGGAUGGAAAACCAGCUGGCCCGAGGAUUUAUGAACACUGUUCUUUGUCAGAAUAAGCCAAAAAGAUCACUCCAGGAACAAAGUGACAGUCAGAUUAAAUAUAAAGAAGAGAGUCGUAAGAUUCUACAGGAGAGCAUUGAAGUAGCUCGUCUUGCUUCCACAAUCAAGACAAAUGAAAUUGCUAAAGAUAGCUAUUCUAGAGUUCCACCCUUGCCUACUGAAAGCCUAAAACCCCAGAAAAUAAAACAGGAUAGUGAAACUAAGUGUUACGCAAUCCAACUUUAUGCAUCAAAGAACUCAGUACCUCAUUCUGUGCCCCAAAGCAACUAUUUUACUACUUUGUCAAACAGUAUUAUAAAUGAACCACCUAGGUUAUAUCUGUCUAAAGAUGCAUAUCCUUAUGCUGAGAAGACAAAUCCUUCAACUCCUGCUCUCCUUUCCUAUAAUAAGACUCUUUCCAAACCACCUCCGCUUAUUAAGCAUCAACCUAAGAGUGAGGGAUCAGUUGGCAAAGCUACAGAACAGUUUGCCCACCAAGUGACUUCUCAAAGUCACGACUCAAAUACUUCUGAUCACAAGGGAGUUACAGAACAGUUGCCAAUUUUACCAUCAGUUGUUACGAGAGGCAUGCCAUCUCUGCAUCGAGCUCCUGUUUACCAACAUCCAUCUCAUCAUGUUACAGAACGAAAAGAAGGUAACUAUCGCAAUCUCUCCCCACCGACCCUAACUCCAGUACUGCCUGUCAAUGCUGCUAAGCUUUCUGAAUUGCAGAAACCUCCAACUUUACUACCAGAGCCAAGGCCUGAAGUGAAAACUUGUGUGAAUAAUCAUACAGUCACUUCUAAUAUCAGUUGGAACACCAGUGCAGGAUUUCUUCAUAAGCCUGCUUCCCAUUUGGACAACAAAAACAGUGAAGUAUUACAAGUUUCCCCAGCAUCUGUAAUUGUAAGACCGUCUUCCACAGUUAAGCAAGAAAGUAAAGCAAAGGAUUCUGGAAAGGAAAGGUUGUUAAUGCAAUCAGAUUCCUUUGAUUCAAAAGUCAAAGAAGUGUGUAAAAUCAUUUUGCCUAACCUGAAGUUGGAUACUACAAGUGCAGAACAUGAAAGAAACUUCAAGGUUUUCCUUCCAGGCAACAAUUUGGACUCCAAUGCUGUCACCAACUCUUUAUACAAUAGCAGUGCCAACCCUUCAACUUCUCGAGCCACAACAACUAACAUCUUAGGUGACAAAGAAACAAGUAUAACCUCAUGUCAGUCGUGCACCCCUGUCAAUAACAGUAUAUCAGAACGCAUUAUUCCCAAAACUUCAGAUCAUUUAAGAAUGCAGAUAGAGGAAUGCACGAUUUAUACCACAUCUGCUGCAGUUUCCUCAGCAGAUGCUGGAAGAACAGGAACUACUGUGCAAAGUAACACAGGAAUCCCAAAUACAACUGAUUACUACCAGCUGAAGAAACACAAAGCAGCACUGGCUAUAGCCCAUUCUGGAAGUACUUUUCCUGAUAACAAUGAGUCUGCUAGUUUCAAAAGUGAUAAAAGUUCAGCAGCUGUACCUCCCAAAAAUACUGGAACAAUAAGUGCAUUUUGUAAAGUAAAUUCUGUCACCAAUGGCCAGAUUUCUCAAUCCAAUCAACCUAGUUUUCACACAAAACUGAAAAAAGCUUGGCUAACUAGACACUCUGAAGAAGACAAAAACACAUGUAACAUGGAAAAUAAAGAAACUAUAACGAAUGAUGCAAAGAAGCCAAUUACAAUUAGUUCACCAGCUUCCACAACCGAUGAUGUGGACAAAAAAGCUCACUCUGGUGAAGUGAAGACUGAGCAGGAAGAAAGAAAAACAAGAGGAACAAAAAGAACUUAUGAAUCUGGCUCUGAAAGCGAUGUGUCAGAUGAAAGCGAAAAUAAAUUGGAGCACAGGGUCAAGCGUCAACCCAAGCCAACCUAUAAAAAGAGGCAAAAUGAUCUGCAAAAGCGAAAAGCUGAAAUUGAGAGGGAGGAAGUGGAAAUAAAACCAAAUGGUGCUUUAUAUAGAAAUGCAAAGGAAAAGAAAAGUAAACUUCAGAGCAAUGGUUUACCACGCUCUGUCUUGAAAGACUGGAGGAAAGUUAAAAAGCUCAAGCAGACUGGAGAACCUUUCCUGCAAGAUGGCUCAUGCUCUGAAAUAGCCCCAAAUCUACAAAAGUGUAGGGAAUGUCGUAUGAUUCGUUAUCGGAAAAAUGAGGAGUUCAGUCAUUCAGCUGUAUUUUGCAGAUUCUACUACUUCCGCCGACUGGCAUUCAGUAAGAAUGCUGUACUAAGGACAGAUGGGUUUUCAACUCCAGACCAGUAUGAUGAGGAAGCAAUAAACUUGUGGCUACCCAAAUAUUCUGCAGAUUUGAAUUUGGACAUGGAAUCUUCCAAAUACAUACUGAGAAAUAUUGGAGAUAAAUUUUGUCAAAUAGAAACAUCUGAGAAGACUGCUAUGACAUGGCUUAAACCAGAUGCCAAACUAGCCUGGAAGAGAGCAGUAAAAGGAGUUCAAGAAAUGUGUGAUGCAUGUGAAGCCACAUUGUUUAACAUCCAUUGGGUUUGCCAGAAAUGUGGAUUUGUGGUCUGUUUGGACUGUUAUGAAGCAAAGGAAAGAAGGGGUUCCAAAGCUGUUAAAGAAGUUUUUGUCUGGCUGAAGUGUGUCAAAGGUCAAGUUCAUGAUCCAAAGAGCCUGAUGCCAACACAGAUUAUCCCCGGCUCUGUCUUGGCAGAUAUUGGAGAGGUAGUGCAUUCCAUCAAUGACGGCUGGAAAAUUGCUACACGUUAUCCUCGCAGGGAGCAAAAUGUGCAACCUUCCAAACUCUCCACAACUAAUGGAGUUUUACAGUGUGUCCUAAAUCGCAAUGCCAUCAACUCAGUGGCUAAGCAACAUUCUACAGUGGAGAACUCUGAGACUAAUGGUGGUUCAAACAGCCCAAGGAGAAACAUCAUUGCAGACAAAAACAAAGAAUUGCAUGUGUCCAAGGCAGUGAAGAUGGAAUUAAACCAAAUGGACAAAACAGAAAAUUGUAAAACUGCCACCACGUGUGUCAACAAUGAACAGGGGUCAACUCUGCGGGAUUUACUUACUACAACAGCUGGCAAAUUGCGGUUAGGUUCAACUGAUGCCGGUAUUGCCUUUGCCCCAGUGUUUUCUGCAGAGACACCUACUGGCAGAAGUACAAGAAGCAUGCCAAAUCUCUUGGAUGACAUAAUUGCAUCGGUUGUGGAAAAUAAGAUCCCAGCAAUUAAGUCGGAGAAAUCACAUGGGAAAGAAGAAACAAACCAAAAUUUGCAAAAAGAAAUUAAAAACCUAAAUUUAGAUUCCAGGAGCAAGAAUAAUUCUGAAGUACCAUAUUCUUGGCUUUGUGAGGGAAAUGUACUGUGGCUCCACGAUCCUGGACACCCCAGCAAUUGUAAGAUAUUCAGAGAAUGCUGGAGACAAGAACAGCCUGUUGUUGUGUCUGGUGUGCACAAAAAACUAAAUUCCAACAUUUGGAAACCUGAAAGCUUUAAUGAAGAAUUUGCAGACCAGAAGGCUGACUUAGUUAACUGCAAGGAUGGCAGUAUAAUAUCCAGUGUAAGAAUUCAAGACUUCUGGGAUGGUUUUGAAGAUAUAACUAAGCGAUUGAAGUCCAAGAAUGGGGAGUCUUUAUUACUGAAGCUCAAUGAUUGGCCUUCUGGUGAAGAUUUUCAAACCAUGAUGCCUUCUAGGUAUGAUGACUUUAUGAAAAAUUUACCACUGCCGCAGUAUUGUAAUCCUGAAGGAAAUCUAAAUCUGGCAUCCCGGCUACCAAAUUUCUUUGUGCAACCAGAUUUGGGUCCAAAACUAUAUGGUGUUUAUGGACAGACCACAGUUAAAGAACAUGGAACUACUAACCUCCAUCUAGAUGUUGCUGAUGUAGUCAAUGUCCUUGUCUAUGUUGGAGUACCAAAAGGGAAUGGAAACAAUCACAGAGCAGCUAUCUUGAAAAAAACUGAAGAAGAAAUUGAUGAAAGCACAAAGAAUAGAUUGAAGAACAGUGAUGAGACUCCAGGUGCUUUGUGGCAUAUCUUUUCAGCCAAAGAUACAAACAAAAUAAAGGAGUUCCUGCAAAAGGUUAAUGAGGAAUUGGGUCAAGAAUCUUCUGAACACGAUCCACUCCAUGAUCAGAUCUGUUACCUGGACAAGAAACUACGCCAGAGGCUCUAUGAAGAAUGCGGAAUACAGUGCAGGUCCAUCUUGCAGUUCUUGGGUGAUACAUUCUUAAUACCAGCUGGGACACUGCGUCAGAUGCAGAGUAUUUAUAGUUGCAUUCAAAUUUCUGAAGACUUUGUGUCACCCGAGCACGUAGCACAGUCUUUCCAUCUGACACAUGAGCUAAGACACCAGUCAAAAGAUGAGAUAAACUAUGAGGAUAAACUACAGAAGAUGCCCAACCUGCAUCCAGCACUUUCUGUUUUUAUUUCAGUUUCCACUCCUGAGAAUGAAUGUACUUGCCGUGUAUGGAGUGCAGCAAAGAUUCACUAAACUGGUUCCAGGGCUGGCAGAUUUGUCACAUUAAGGAGGUAUUAAGCAGACUUGGCCAAUACUCCAUGGAGUUUAGCAGAAUGAGAGGAGAUCUCAUUGAAGCUUAGAAAAUUCUUACUGGCUAGGAGGAUGUUUCUCUCAACUGAGAAGUCUACAAUCAAACUUCACAGUAUCGGAUAAAUGGAUAAAGAAUAUAAUUUACCAUUCUGUUAAAGAUGCUGUGGGAGCUCUGAGACUGCAUGAAGAAAAGACUCAUCAGAAGGUUUAAUGUUUUCUGAGUUAUUGUGACUUUACAUCACCUUUGUUUAAAAAUGAACAUCUACAGUGCCAAGAAAAGUGCAGCCAUAGUGGCUAAUAUAAUUAUUGGCCAAUGUAUAAAAAUUAGAAAAAUUAAAUGUAACUAUAAGUCUGCGGAAAAAAUAGCACUGUUGUGUUCCAUGUACUAUAUUGUACAUUUUGCAAAUGACAGAUGUAUUUAUUUUUUGAAAAAUUAUUACAGAACUUUAUGCUGUGUUAUAGAUCUAAUGUAAAUGUGAUUUGUACAGUUUAGUUUGCUAAAAUUGAUAUUUUUCACUACAUUGAGACAGUUACUGUGAAAAGGCAGGUGCAAUUACCAGCAAUGCCUAUUUUUAAAUCGCUGAAUCGCACAGCCAUCCAUGUCAUAUCUUAAAGUCCUGCCAAAAGAAAUACACUUUGAAGUUCCUUAUAGUACAGAAAAUGACUGGAUGGAUAUACUAUAUGCAUUAGCUUUUAAUUAAGUAUUCAUUGUAACAUUUAAACAUUUUACAGUGUCGUAAUUUAUUCAAAAUGACAUUCUGUUUUAUAUUAGUUAUUGUGGACUUUUGCAAGUAAAAUGACUUUUAAAGGAGAAAGUUGAUAUUCUAUGUAAAUACAUAUAAAUAUAUACAUCUACUAUGUAUUUUUUUAAAGCGUAGCUUGCUUCAGUUUGUUAAAGUACAA